rnacentral:tRNA from 1 species
GCCGGGAUAGCCUAGUGGACAAGGCGCAGGCCUUGAGAGCCUGUGGGGAUUUUUCCCCUCGUGGGUUCGAAUCCCACUCCCGGCG